CCUUCUCUGAGAAAGGGAAACCAGUUCUCCAUUAUCCAUAAUGUGUUUACUUAUUUGAUUCUUUCCCCUUUCUUGUUUUUUUGCAGCCAUACAGCAUGACACACAGAAGCUUACUCCCUGACCAGAGAUUGAACCCGAGCCCCCCAGCACGGAAGCUCAGAGUUCUAACCACUGGACCACCAGUAAAUUCCCUUGCAUAUGUCAACCCUGAAUAUUCAUUGGAAGGACUGAUGCUGAAGCUCCAAUACUUUGGCGACCUGAUGCGAAGAGCCGAAUCACCGGAAAAGACCCUCAUGCUGAGAAAGAUUGAGGGCAGGACAGGGGGGCAACAGAGGAUGAGAUGGUUGGAUGGCCUCACCGACUCAAUGGACAUGAGUUUGAGCAAACUAAGGCACAGGAGAACCUGGCUUGCUGCAGUCCAUGGGGUCACAGAGUCGGACACGACUUAGUGACUGAACAACAGCAACAAAG
ensembl:lncRNA